GCCCAGAUGGCGUAAUGGUAGCCGCGGCGGACUCAAAAUCCGCUGGUAGUGAUACCGUGUGGGUUCGAAUCCCAUUCUGGGCACCA
rnacentral:tRNA from 1 species